AUCCAGAUGACGAGUCCCAAAUAGGACAGGCGAAAUGCGCAUCAAGCUGGAU
rnacentral:hammerhead_ribozyme from 1 species